UGUUGAUUUGUUUUCUCUUCUUUCCCAGAUCUGCUGUCUUGGGAUCAGACUGUAUGGUGUGUUGUCAGAUUGGAAGACAAGUCUGAGGAGCUUGAUCAAGUGCGAAUGACAUAGAUGGCAAUUUCUCCUAGAAACUUUUCAAGAUGGGAAAUGCAAGAAAA